rnacentral:lncRNA from 1 species
CACGGCGUUUAUUACAAAAUCCUCUGUACCUCCACACACCUCAACCCUCACCAGAGCAACAUAAAAAAAACAACCAAACCAGCAACUCUGCACUGCAAUAAGGGUGAGAAAAUGCCCAGCAGGGACUCCCUCUCACCAACAGCGCUGAAAUGCAGCUCUCCGCAGGAGCUGCUGCUGCUGAUCUGAACACACCUGCUGUUCUGUGCUGUUCUGUGCUGCUCUGUCUGCUCUCUCCUGAGUUCUGGGGGGAGGGGGCGGGCCCACGGGGCCACUCUCAGUUCUUUUUGGUCUUGGGGGUGUCGUAUUUUCUCUUGCUCGAGUACCACAGCAGCAGCGGGAUCCCAAUGGACGGCAAAGUCAUCACACCAAAGGCCGCCCAGUCCAGCUGAAAGGAGAAAUCAUUCAAAGUCAAAACAAAUUGCACACAGCUCCAUCUCAGACCAUCGGAUCGCCCUCCCUCCUGCUGGAAUCCUGCAGUGCUCCUUUGUGGAGGUGGCUGGGAUGAAACCCACCCUCCUGUUCAGCGAUGCCCUUCUGGACCACUGAUACGGAUUAACUGCAAUCCCACUGUGUGUGUGGGGUUGAGCACAGUGCAAUUUCAAUCCCCAGCUGACAGAUACUCACAAAGUGAGGGGAGAACCUCCUGUCGAACUCACGCUGAGCCAGGAUUCCUCCCUGCCCGGGAGCACUCGUGAAACCCACCACGACCUGUCCGCCCUCCUGUGCCAGAUAGGUGAUGGUAGCAGAGGUGAAGUUGAAAUAUCCAGCUUUGAGAGGCCGCAGAACCACAGUGUGGGACACGUUGCUUGCUGGAGCGAUUCUGUCCCACUUGACGUUGAGCAUCCCAGAGACAAUGCCAAAAUCCUCCGGGGGGAAGGAAUCAUCCGACAGCUCCACAUCUAAAGCAGCACUGGAGCCAACAUUGUAGAUGUUGUACUGCAGCGUGAGGUCUUUGCCCUCCACUGCAUAUCUGUUCAGCAGAGACUUGGAGGCCAGCAGCCUGGCACCCUCCUCACAGCGGGCCACAUAAAAGAGGGCAAACGCAGCAAGAAUCACGAGCUUCAUCCUCCGCGCCGGCGGAAGGCCG